AAACUUCAACAACGGAUCUCUUGGUUCUGGCAUCGAUGAAGAACGCGGCGAAAUGCGGUACGUAAUGUGAAUUGCAGAAUUCAGUGAAUCAUCGAAUCUUUGAACGCACAUUGCGCCCGCCAGCAUUCUGGCGGGCAUGCCUGUUCGAGCGUCAUUU
rnacentral:rRNA from 1 species